CUGAGAGCGGAGAAGAUAUUGUUUCACUCUUCUGACGGAUCUCGGGCUCUGCGACGCAGCCAUGGCUGGACAGACAGAGCGCUGGAGGGCUUUGUGGCUACUGCUGCUUGUGUGUCUCGCGCUCCAGACAGUGGAGUUUGAGUUGACAGAGGAGGACUGGGAGGAGCUGCCAGCAAGCCUGCUCUCUCUUCACAGGCUGAAGGGACUUCAUGACCAGAUUACCCACGAGGCCACACCUGACACAAACAUCCCUUUGCUCAGGUCAGCAAUGUUCCUGGGACGUAUUGGAGCCCGUCGGUUAUCU